rnacentral:rRNA from 1 species
AUUGAACGCUGGCGGCAGGCCUAACACAUGCAAGUCGAACGAGAGGCGGACGGGUGAGUAAUGUCUGGGAAACUGCCCGAUGGAGGGGGAUAAAUACUGGAAACUGUAGCUAAAACCCCAUACACUAGGAUGGGCCCAGAUGGGAUUAGCUAGUAGGUGGGGUAAAGGCUCACCUAGGCGACGAUCCCUAGCUGGUCUGAGAGGAUGACCAGCCACACUGGAACUGAGACACGGUCCAGACUCCUACGGGAGGCAGCAGUGGGGAAUAUUGCACAAUGGGCGCAAGCCUGAUGCAGCCAUGCCGCGUGUAUGAAGAAGGCCUUCGGGUUGUAAAGUACUUUCAGCGAGGAGGCGUUACUCGCAGAAGAAGCACCGGCUAACUCCGUGCCAGCAGCCGCGGUAAUAC